GAGGUGCUAGUCAAGUUAUAACAAUGCCUUGUCAAGGCAUAAUCACGGGUUAAACCCCCGUGCACCUCU
rnacentral:tRNA from 1 species